rnacentral:lncRNA from 1 species
GGUGGGAGGAUCAAAUCUUUUUCAAAUAAGUGAAGAACAUGCAAAUGUUGCUCUUCUUGCUGAUCUGUUAUCUUUGUGUGAUGCAUUAAAGUCUCAAGAUGCAAUUAAGUGGAAGAAGGCUAUAGAAGAAUUGUAUGAAUUUUUUAUAGACAAUGAUACAUGAGAAUAUACACCCCUUUUAGCAAAUCGAUUCAGUAUUGG